rnacentral:rRNA from 1 species
GGGCCCGCACAAGCGGUGGAUUAUGUGGAUUAAUUCGAUGCAACGCGAAAAACCUUACCUGGCCUUGACAUGUACCGAAUUUAGCAGAGAUGCUUUAGUGCUCGUAAGAGAACGGUAACACAGGUGCUGCAUGGCUGUCGUCAGCUCGUGUCGUGAGAUGUUGGUUAAGUCCCGCAACGAGCGCAACCCUUGCCAUUAAUUGCCAUCAUUUAGUUGGGCACUUUAAUGGGACUGCCGGUGACAAACCGGAGGAAGGUGGGGAUGACGUCAAGUCCUCAUGGCCCUUAUGGCCAGGGCUUCACACGUAAUACAAUGGCGGUGACAACGGGAAGCGAAGGGGUGACCUGGAG